rnacentral:rRNA from 1 species
GAUCAUGGCUCAGAUUGAACGCUGGCGGAAUGCUUUACACAUGCAAGUCGAACGGCAGCACGAGGGCAACCUUGGUGGCGAGUGGCGAACGGGUGAGUAAUACAUCGGAACGUGCCCAGUCGUGGGGGAUAACGUAGCGAAAGCUACGCUAAUACCGCAUACGAUCUAUGGAUGAAAGCGGGGGACCGUAAGGCCUCGCGCGAUUGGAGCGGCCGAUGGCAGAUUAGGUAGUUGGUGGGGUAAAGGCUCACCAAGCCUGCGAUCUGUAGCUGGUCUGAGAGGACGACCAGCCACACUGGAACUGAGACACGGUCCAGACUCCUACGGGAGGCAGCAGUGGGGAAUUUUGGACAAUGGGCGCAAGCCUGAUCCAGCCAUUCCGCGUGCAGGAUGAAGGCCUUCGGGUUGUAAACUGCUUUUGUACGGAACGAAAAGGUUUUCCUUAAUACGGAGAGCUCAUGACGGUACCGUAAGAAUAAGCACCGGCUAACUACGUG